rnacentral:rRNA from 1 species
UACAGAGGGUGCGAGCGUUAAUCGGAAUUACUGGGCGUAAAGGGUGCGUAGGUGGUUAGAUAAGUUAGGUGUGAAAUCCCUGGGCUCAACCUGGGAAUGGCGCUUAAUACUGUCAGACUAGAGUACAGUAGAGGAAAGUAGAAUUUCCGGUGUAGCGGUGAAAUGCGUAGAUAUCGGAAGGAAUACCAGUGGCGAAGGCGGCUUUCUGGACUGAUACUGACACUGAGGCACGAAAGCGUGGGUAGCAAAC